AAGAAAUGAAGAAGCGACAAUUGAUCUUAGUGUUGAUGUGAAGACGCUCAGAUCCAACUCUGAUCUUGCUGCAGAC
ensembl:snoRNA small nucleolar RNA, C/D box 19C